GUUGAGGGGGUUAUUUGUUUUGGUUAACUAAUAUAGUUGACCACAAUAAAAUUAGCUAGGUGAAAGCCUAAGCUGGAUAAAGGACGACAGAAAGAUAAUUGCAAUUGGUUGAUAGCUUGUUGGACUCAAGUGAAGAAAAUCUAAUACGUUUGGUAUUAUCGUGUUACAAGAAAAUUUUAAAAAUUGAUUUAUAAUAAAAUUUGAUAUUUUAGUCAUAAGAUCCAAAUAAUAAAAUAAAAUUUUUAAAAUUUUUUAGCAACUAAAAUAGUAUAUUUUUAAUUUUUUUUUU
rnacentral:misc_RNA from 1 species